rnacentral:rRNA from 1 species
AUGCACGCUGGCGGCGUGCCUAAUACAUGCACGUCGAGCGAACGGACGAGAAGCUUGCUUCUCUGAUGUUAGCGGCGGACGGGUGAGUAACACGUGGAUAACCUACCUAUAAGACUGGGAUAACUUCGGGAAACCGGAGCUAAUCCCGGAUAAUAUUUUGAACCGCAUGGUUCAAAAGUGAAAGACGGUCUUGCUGUCACUUAUAGAUGGAUCCGCGCUGCAUUAGCUAGUUGGUAAGGUAACGGCUUACCAAGGCAACGAUGCAUAGCCGACCUGAGAGGGUGAUCGGCCACACUGGAACUGAGACCCGGUCCAGACUCCUACGGGAGGCAGCAGUAGGGAAUCUUCCGCAAUGGGCGAAAGCCUGACGGAGCAACGCCGCGUGAGUGAUGAAGGUCUUCGGAUCGUAAAACUCUGUUAUUAGGGAAGAACAUAUGUGUAAGUAACUGUGCACAUCUUGACGGUACCUAAUCAGAAAGCCACGGCUAACUACGUG